rnacentral:lncRNA from 10 species
AAACCCUGUCACUAUAAAAAAUACAAAAAUUAGCCAGUCGUGGUGGUUGCAUGCCUGUGGUCUAGCUACUCAGGAGGCUGAGGCAGAGGAUCGCUUGAGCCUAGGAAGCAGAGUUUACAGUGAGCCAAGAUCAUACCACUCCACUCCAGCCUGGACAACAGAGUGAGACUCUUGUCUCAAAAGACAAAAAAUAAAAUAAAAUGAAUAAGUGGUAAAUGAAAGAAUUAAUGAAUGAAUGGAAGGAUGAGCUAGAAUUUGGAGCCCCUAAAUGGAGCCUGGGUACUCAGUCUAACUUCAGACCCUUCCUUUUUUGCCAGCUGCCGGAUAGUCUCACCAUUACUCCCGUUAUUUGGAACCUCUUCACUGCAACGUGACCUUGUUUAUGUGAGUUUAGCUCUCUGAGACUCAGUUUCCUCAAAUGCAAUAUGAUAAGACAGUGGAAUUUUCCAGAUGCUACACAAUAUGUGACGUUGCAACAGAUUGAAGAAGCAAAUAUGAGAAUCAUAUCUUCUAUGGAAUCAGAAACUCAAUUUGCAAAAAUGAAAAACAAUGUGACUCUUCUCACUAUUCUUUUCGGAUAUACAAUUAUGUUCAAUUAAAAUGUUAUUUAUGUCAUAUAUAAUGGUUUAUUAUUUUUAAAAAUGAAUUAACUGUCUUUAAAAGUUCUCAGCUUUAAUUUCUGAGCAAAUACUGAUAGAUAUUAUCCACAAUAAACAAAAGCUUUGUGGUGUCCU